rnacentral:rRNA from 1 species
AGGAAAGCAGGGGAUCGCAAGACCUUGCGCUUUUGGAGCGGCCGAUGUCUGAUUAGCUAGUUGGUGAGGUAAAGGCUUACCAAGGCUUCGAUCAGUAGCUGGUCUGAGAGGACGACCAGCCACACUGGGACUGAGACACGGCCCAGACUCCUACGGGAGGCAGUAGUGGGGAAUUUUGGACAAUGGGGGAAACCCUGAUCCAGCCAUGCCGCGUGAGUGAAGAAGGCCUUCGGGUUGUAAAGCUCUUUCAGCCGGAACGAAAAGGUUACGGUUAAUACCCGUGACUAAUGACGGUACCGGAAGAAGAAGCACCGGCUAACUACGUGCCAGCAGCCGCGGUAAUACGUAGGGUGCGAGCGUUAAUCGGAAUUACUGGGCGUAAAGCGUGCGCAGGCGGUUCUGUAAGUCAGAUGUGAAAUCCCCGGGCUCAACCUGGGAACUGCGUUUGAAACUACAAGGCU